rnacentral:rRNA from 1 species
CCUACGGGGGGCUGCAGUGGGGAAUAUUGGACAAUGGGCGAAAGCCUGAUCCAGCCAUGCCGCGUGUGUGAAGAAGGCCUUCGGGUUGUAAAGCACUUUCAGUGGGGAAGAAAGCCUUGGGGCUAAUACCCUCGAGGAAGGACAUCACCCACAGAAGAAGCACCGGCUAACUCCGUGCCAGCAGCCGCGGUAAUACGGAGGGUGCGAGCGUUAAUCGGAAUUACUGGGCGUAAAGCGCGCGUAGGCGGUCUGAUAAGCCGGUUGUGAAAGCCCCGGGCUCAACCUGGGAACGGCAUCCGGAACUGUCAGGCUAGAGUGCAGGAGAGGAAGGUAGAAUUCCCGGUGUAGCGGUGAAAUGCGUAGAGAUCGGGAGGAAUACCAGUGGCGAAGGCGGCCUUCUGGACUGACACUGACGCUGAGGUGCGAAAGCGUGGGUAGCGAACAGGAUUAGAUACCCUAGUAGUC